AACGAACGCUGGCGGCAUGCCUAACACAUGCAAGUCGAACGAGACCUUCGGGUCUAGUGGCGCACGGGUGCGUAACGCGUGGGAACCUGCCCUUAGGUUCGGAAUAACUCCCCGAAAGGGGUGCUAAUACCGGAUAAUGUCUUCGGACCAAAGAUUUAUCGCCUUUGGAUGGGCCCGCGUUGGAUUAGCUAGUUGGUAGGGUAAAAGCCUACCAAGGCGACGAUCCAUAGCUGGUCUGAGAGGAUGAUCAGCCACACUGGGACUGAGACACGGCCCAGAAUCCUACGGGAGGCAGCAGUGGGGAAUAUUGGACAAUGGGCGAAAGCCUGAUACAGCAAUGCCGCGUGAGUGAUGAAGGCCUUAGGGUUGUAAAGCUCUUUUACCCGGGAUGAUAAUGACAGUACCGGGAGAAUAAGCACCGGCUAACUCCGUG
rnacentral:rRNA from 1 species